rnacentral:tRNA from 1 species
GUCGGGAUAGCUCAGUUGGUAGAGCAGAGGACUGAAAAUCCUCCU